rnacentral:rRNA from 1 species
UACAGAGGGGGCAAGCGUUGUUCGGAAUUACUGGGCGUAAAGGGCGCGUAGGCGGCCUUCUAAGUCGAACGUGAAAUCCCGGGGCUCAACCUCGGAACUGCCUUUGAUACAGCACGUCUCGAGUCCGGAAGAGGUGGGUGGAAUUCCUAGUGUAGAGGUGAAAUUCGUAGAUAUUAGGAAGAACACCGGUGGCGAAGGCGGCCCACUGGUCCGAUACUGACGCUGAGGCACGAAAGCGUGGGGAGCAAACAGG